AGGGGUGGACAUCGGUUGGGUUGGAUCGGUUUUCGGGCCCAAAUUCUCAAUCCGACCUAACCAUCGGUUGGAAAAAACAUAACCAAAACCGACCGGUUUGCAAUUCGGUUAUUUUCGGUUUCGGUUUUGUUCGGUUCGGUUUCAUAAUGCGGUUUAUUCGGUUUUAAAAAUAAUUGAGCUCAUUCCAAAAUAAACCCAACACAAGUGGAUUUUAUCUAGGAUUUAAAUAGCACAAUUUUAUACUAGUCUUUAAACUUUUAGUUUACUUAUGAACAAAAAAAUAAAACAAUAUAUCUUAAAACUUAUGAAAUUGCUGCAUUUUUCGGAAAUGGAUUGAACAAUCAUUGUUAACAUUUGUAUUCUAAAUUUCUACUCAUAUUAUAUCUAUCUUGCUGACAUGGAUACAGGGCCGUUCAAUGUAACAAAUGUCUUUGAGUUCCAUAAUGGACGGUGGUAUAUGGUUCAUCAUCACAGUUCUGUGAUGAAUGGGGAUGUAGAGCAACAAAUUAUGCAUGGAUAGUAAUAGUAAGAGAGAUGAUAUGUUAUUAUGUCUGAUACUGGUCUCAGAAAAGGAAAUUGCAAUGGGGCCAAAAAAGUGUGAAAAAUAGAUUAAGUGGAUUAAAGUAAAUACAAAAGAUCGAUGGAAAAGAUUACAUGUGAAUCAACGUCCAAUACAUCGGUGAGACUUGUGAAAAACCAAGGCUGUGCAGUUGCAGGAGUUACUAAUUCAAAAGUAUAGUCCAAUUUUGGCGUGCAUUUUAGUUCUCUAGCAGUGUGUGCAUUUUUCAAUAUUGUAAGAGACAAGUCCAUUCCGGCAAUGCAAUAUCCAAUUAACCUUCAAUGCAAUAUCCAAUCAACCUUACCUAUAGAUGAUCAUCAAUCAACAAUCGUAUAUAUAAGAGCUAGUGCAUAACAAUUUCUAUAACAAAAGAUAAAAUCAAAUCAAAUUCUUUUCAUAAGCUAUUACCAAGUUCAAGUGAUGAACACGCGUUAACACCUUAAGCUCGGCAAAAAAUUCUUUUGAUGCUUUCA